UACGUAGGGUGCGAGCGUUGUCCGGAAUUAUUGGGCGUAAAGAGCUCGUAGGUGGUCCGUCACGUCGGGGGUGAAAAUCUAGGGCUCAACCCUGGACGUGCACUCGAUACGGGCGGACUAGAGUUCGGUAGGGGAGACUGGAAUUCCUGGUGUAGCGGUGGAAUGCGCAGAUAUCAGGAGGAACACCGGUGGCGAAGGCGGGUCUCUGGGCCGAUACUGACACUGAGGAGCGAAAGCGUGGGGAGCGAACAGG
rnacentral:rRNA from 1 species